CCGUCGUCAACUAGGCUGAUCGGUUACUGAAAAGUCACUUCGUUCAGUGCUUUAGACGUCAACUCCCCCUGCAUCUGACGUCUAAAUGGUCUGAAAAAGGCAGGUGAAAGGUCUCUUGGACGUCAGAUUAGUCAUGUAGCCGACGUCUAUAGACGUCAGUUGGUACGAUGACCGACGCAUAAAUUCAACUUAAAUAAACCGCAAACUCGCAGUUACUCGCACAUAAUCUUCUUCCUCCUCUCCUU
rnacentral:lncRNA from 1 species